CGGAGGAUGCAAGCGUUAUCCGGAAUGAUUUGGGCGUAAAGACGUCCGCAGGUGGCAAUUCAAGUUUGCGGUUAAAGGUUCUGGCUCAACCAGGGACAGGCCGUGAAAACUGAAUAGCUAGAGUAUGGUAGGGGCAGAGGGAAUUCCCAGUGUAGCGGUGAAAUGCGUAGAGAUUGGGAAGAACACCGGUGGCGAAAGCGCUCUGCUAGGCCAAAACUGACACUGAGGGACGAAAGCUAGGGGAGCGAAUGGGAUU
rnacentral:rRNA from 1 species